rnacentral:rRNA from 1 species
ACGGGAGGCAGCAGUGGGGAAUAUUGCACAAUGGGGGAAACCCUGAUGCAGCAACGCCGCGUGAGUGAUGAAGUAUUUCGGUAUGUAAAGCUCUAUCAGCAGGGAAGAUAAUGACGGUACCUGACUAAGAAGCACCGGCUAAAUACGUGCCAGCAGCCGCGGUAAUACGUAUGGUGCAAGCGUUAUCCGGAUUUACUGGGUGUAAAGGGUGCGUAGGCGGCAUGGCAAGUCAGAUGUGAAAGACCGGGGCUCAACUCCGGGGCUGCAUUUGAAACUGCCAGGCUGGAGUACAGGAGAGGCAGGCGGAAUUCCUAGUGUAGCGGUGAAAUGCGUAGAUAUUAGGAAGAACACCAGUGGCGAAGGCGGUUAGCUGGACAAUAACUGACGCUGAGGCGCGAAAGCGUGGGUAGCAAACAGGAUUAGAUACCCUGGUA